rnacentral:rRNA from 1 species
AACGAACGCUGGCGGCAGGCUUAACACAUGCAAGUCGAACGGAUCCUUCGGGAUUAGUGGCAGACGGGUGAGUAACGCGUGGGAACGUACCCUUUGCUACGGAAUAACUCAGGGAAACUUGAGCUAAUACCGUAUGUGCCCUACGGGGGAAAGAUUUAUCGGCAAAGGAUCGGCCCGCGUUGGAUUAGCUAGUUGGUGGGGUAAUGGCCUACCAAGGCGACGAUCCAUAGCUGGUCUGAGAGGAUGAUCAGCCACACUGGGACUGAGACACGGCCCAGACUCCUACGGGAGGCAGCAGUGGGGAAUAUUGGACAAUGGGCGCAAGCCUGAUCCAGCCAUGCCGCGUGAGUGGUGAAGGUCUUAGGAUUGUAAAGCUCUUUCACCGGUGAAGAUAAUGACGGUAGCCGGAGAAGAAGCCCCGGCUAACUUCGUG